UGAUAAUUUAAUUCGGUUCGGUUCUGUUUGAACCGAAUGCUCACCCUUAACCACAACCUUGGAGGAGAGAUGUGGUUCCCAACAAGACUAUACCUCAGCUUGUGCCUGACACCCUUUUGCUAGACAUUAAUCAAUAAAAAUUCUUACUAAUUGGGCGAACUUAUGGCAAAUUCCAUACAAAGUUUGAAAUAAUAGUCUUAGUUUCUGUAAGAUGAUGAACAAUAUUUGCACUCCAUUAUACAUAGUAGGGGUAGAUAAAUUUGUGGUGAAAAGCCAGAAACAUAUCAUAACUUCUUAGCAUUGCUGAGUGCUAAAGGAUUCCAAAUUUGCAAUUACAAUUUAUGUUCCUUUCUUGCAAUACCUUCACCAAGUACUAUUUGAAGUUCAACAGAAAUUCACCGUUUCUUUGACAUCAAGUCAGUCUACAACUAAGUACACUAAAUUAACAUAAAAAAAUCUCGUUGAGCUGCAGAAUACACACACUUGCCACCAAAUCUCAACCUUGUAAUUAAUUAAUUAAUUCUUUGAUUGAUUUUUAAACAUGGCAAAGUAGCUAUUACCACUUUCAGAAGAAGCCGUCUGAG
rnacentral:misc_RNA from 1 species